AAUGGCUCUUCCCAAUGGAACCUUACUUUUCAUAGAGAUGCACAAGAUUGGGAGAUGGACGACCUUUCGGCUUUUUUUGAUUUUGUGUAUUCCACUAGUGUGUCGGGGGAAGGAGAAGACAAGAUAUGUUGGCGUCCAUCUAAGAAGGGAGUGUUCACGGCUCGCUCUUUCUACCAUUCCUUAAACUUGCACAACUCAGUCCCGUUCCCAUGGAAAAGCAUUUGGAAGACAAAGGCAUCUCUAAAGGCAGCUUUUUUUGUAUGGACAGCAUCUUUGGGGAAGAUUCUUACCAUAGAUAACCUAAGGAAACGAGGCAUUAUUGCUAUAAAUUCGUGUUACAUGUGUAAGAAGAGUGGUGAGUCCUUUGACCAUCUAUUACUACAUUGUGAGGUUGCCAUGACUUUAUGGACAGAUGUCUUAGCACGGGUGGGGUUAGCGUGGGUGAUGCCGGAAAGGGUGUGUGAUUUUUUAGCCUCUUGGAGAGGUAUUAGGGGCAACACUCAAAUUGCAUCCAUAUGGAAGAUGCUACCUAUUUUUCUAUGGUGGUGCAUUUGGAGGGAGCGGAAUGCAAGAUGCUUUGAAGAUCAAGAAAGAUCAAUGGAAGAGCUUAGAAUUUUGUUUUUCAAUACUUUACUCCAUUGGUCGAUUGUAAUUGAUUUUCAUGGCAGGUCUUUUCACGAGUUUCUUGUAUCUCUAAGAUAGACAUUGUGAUCGUGUUCAUGUAUAUGUCCCGUGUACUUGGACACUCUAUGUCUCCCUUUUGAUCAAUAAAAUUUGUUUACCGAUCAAAAAAAAAAGUUUAUUUUAAGUUCUAAUCU